GACGAACCGUGCGAACGUUAUUCGGAAUCACUGGGCUUAAAGCGCGUGUAGGCGGGGCGGUGCGUCGGUCGCUGAAAUCCCCCGGCUCAACCGGGGAAGGGGCGCCGAGACGACCGGCCUGGAGCGACGUAGGGGGGACUGGAACUUCCGGUGGAGCGGUGAAAUGCGUUGAGAUCGGAAGGAACGCCCGUGGCGAAAGCGAGGUCCUGGACGUUUACUGACGCUGAGACGCGAAAGCCAGGGGAGCGAACGGG
rnacentral:rRNA from 1 species